rnacentral:rRNA from 1 species
UACGUAGGGUCCGAGCGUUGUCCGGAAUUAUUGGGCGUAAAGGGCUCGUAGGCGGUUUGUCGCGUCGGGAGUGAAAACCAGAGGCUUAACUUCUGGCUUGCUUCCUAUACGGGCAGACUUGAGGCAUGCAGGGGAGAACGGAAUUCCUGGUGUAGCGGUGAAAUGCGCAGAUAUCAGGAGGAACACCGGUGGCGAAGGCGGUUCUCUGGGCAUGUUCUGACGCUGAGGAGCGAAAGUGUGGGGAGCGAACAGG